UUGUGAGAUUUAUUUAGGUUCUA
rnacentral:siRNA from 1 species